rnacentral:rRNA from 1 species
ACGGGUGAGUAAUAUAUUGGAACGUACCGAGUAAUGGGGGAUAACCAAUCGAAAGAUUGGCUAAUACCGCAUACGCUCUGAGGAGGAAAGCAGGGGACCUUCGGGCCUUGCGUUAUUCGAGCGGCCAAUAUCUGAUUAGCUAGUUGGUGGGGUAAAGGCCUACCAAGGCGACGAUCAGUAGCGGGUCUGAGAGGAUGAUCCGCCACACUGGGACUGAGACACGGCCCAGACUCCUACGGGAGGCAGCAGUGGGGAAUUUUGGACAAUGGGCGCAAGCCUGAUCCAGCCAUGCCGCGUGUCUGAAGAAGGCCUUCGGGUUGUAAAGGACUUUUGUUAGGAAAGAAAAAGGAUCGGUUAAUACGCGUUUCUGCUGAACGUACCUAAAGAAUAAGGCGCCGGCUAACUACCGUGACAGCAGCCUCGAUAAACGGACGGUGCUAGCGCUUAAUCUAAAGUACUGAGCGUAAAGCCAGAGCAGUCCUUUAUUUAGAUGGAAGAGUCCACGCCCUCAACCUGAAAAUGGCAAUCUGAUUUCAGACACGGUAGCGUGACUGAUUCAGGGAGAAUUCACAAUUCCACGUGUAAAUGCGAAAAGAGUUGAGAUAUGGCAGGAUGACCAAAGCUCCCUCCUGCCACCAUGCUGACGUUACUUGACCCUAAUGUGCGGAUAACCACGCGGAGAUUAACAAGCACUGGAUGUCCU